CAGGGCACAAGCUAGAGAAGGAGCCGGCGAGGUAAUAGCAUACAGGACCCGCUAGGGUCCCAGUCCCCGGGAGUGCCGGGCUGGGGCAGCCUGUCUCCUGGAGCCCGCCCUACGCUGACUUUUCUAGCACCUCUCACGGAGAGAAAACCCCAGAAGCGGCCCCAGAAAGAGAAGCAGCGCUGAGCACCCACGUCUGUGCUACCACCUCUGCCCACGGCAUUCCGACCGGGCUGAGGAAGUCAGCAGAAGACCAACGUGCUCACUCAUGCCUGGAGACACCUGAACCCCAGCAAAGCAGCCAGCUUAGGUCCUGGAGGUCAGACUUCCAGGAAAAGGCGCCACAGUGGGAUUAAUGCCUGAAGGAAAGAGGACCAAAAGCUGCUGUUGCUGAAGAAGAAGAUCAGAGGAGGGCAGAAUAUAACAGCAAAGAGGGCAGAGUCAAGAUGAUGGAGAGGACCGCAGAGGCAGGGCCAAGGCGAGGCCAGAGGCCAGGAACAGACUGGCGUGUGCCCAGGUUAGGACCUGCUGGUUGCCCCCACACAUCUCAGGGAGGCCCAUACCCCUGGACUCUGGACAGUCGGCUAACAUGGCUUCCUCCCCAGGAGUGGGACCCCGAAAUCACAAGGUUUAAACAAAAUCUGGAUCCUUCCUAGAACCUGUUGCUGUUCCCAGGAGUGCUUGCAGAGUUCUCCUUCCCCCCAAAGUGCCCAGAAGAACACAGGUACACCCACCUUCCGGGCAAAGCUGAGAUGGGCCCCCGUGCUACUGGGCACAGACGCUCGAAAGGACAAAGGAUUUCCAGGGCACAGAGUGGCUCAGGGAUGGGGCAGGGGCCGAGCCAGAGUCUGCCGGGGGCGCCAAAGGCAGCAGCAGAGGAGAGCCCUUCACAUCCGGGCCGGGGAGGUCUCAGAAACCAGGAAACGCCACCAGAAAAAGCUAGGUGUUGGGGGAUGAGAGAACGACUUUCCUUCAUCCUGAACUGUGCCAGUGAGGCCACCAGAGG